CCAUUUGUGUCCUUUGUUUAAUAUGCACAUAGACCAAGGUGAGCGACACAGGCUCUUUAGAGCCUCUAGUUAUUUUUUGUGGAUUCUUCAAGCAAAGAAACAGGCUUUUCUUAAACUUCUAUUGGAAUAGUAUGAAACUUGGUAGAAUUACCUUAUAAUACAUUUAGUGUGCACCUUUCUUUCUAGUUUGUUCAUAAAUAUUAUUGUUAUGAUACGUCUAUGCCAUAUCAUUAUAAGUAAAUAUUUCAUGAUAAAGAAUGUAUCAAAAUUCGACAUGCCUUUUAUCAUGUACAUGGUAUCUUUUUUCAGGCAAUUGUAUAUGCACAAUUUUUCCAGCAAAAUAACUUUUUGUAUUUUUUUUCUUUAUUUGUAUGCCCUACCUACAUAGUAGGAAAGCAUUAUGUUUUCUAGUCUAUGUAUUCACACAAGUUUUGUCAGUUAGUACAUCCAUCCUGUCUCUGGUUACAGUUUUGGGUUAAAAUAGUAUACACAUGUUUAUUAUUAUGAAUAGAAAUUUUUAAAUUAUAUUCCAAAUUACAGUAUUGAACGUGAUUUCAGAUAAAAAUAAGAUGUGGUAUGCUUGCCAAUGAGAAAACUAUCAACCAGAGAAAAAAUAACAUUAUUUUAGCAACUCUUGGUCCUCUAGACAACUAUAAUUCCAUGAAAUGACGUUCUACAGAUCUAGACACAUUUUCUUAUUUAGUCAUUGCCUAGAUGUCUUAUUGACAAUACAUUGUACCUCUUUUUCUACUAUCAUGAAAUAUAGUUAAAAAGGUUAAUUUGCUAAAACAAAAUAGUAACUGCUUCUUUUUUAUAAAGCUUAUAUUUCUUAGACUUUAUAAUGAUUUGAUGUUAUACCUAAGUCUGACUUUAUUUUGUUAUAAUGAAUGAUAUUUGUUUGUUUUAUUGUGAGACUGAUCUACAGUAAUAUUGGAAUUGAUUUUGAAGUGUAUCUUAUGGAUAUAAAAUCAUAUUGUUAAUAAAAUACAAUAAAGUCUGACAUUUCA
rnacentral:lncRNA from 1 species